AGCAGGCAAAGACACAGUAGUCGUCUUCUUUGUAGGGUUUUACUGUUGGCUACUGUCCUCUCCCAUUACCCUCAAACGACCACUCGUUUCCGCCAUCAGUCACCCGCCCUCCAUAGAAACAAUGAGUCGGCACCCUGAGGUUCUGUGGGCUCAGAGAUCAGACAAGGUUUACUUGACGAUUGCAUUACCUGAUGCUAAAGACGUAUCAGUGAAAUGUGAAGGUGGAGGGUUAUUUAGUUUCUCUGCUGUUGGGGUUCAAGGCGAAUCCUUUGAUUUCAGUUUGGAACUCUUUGGAAACAUUGUUCCUGAGGGUUCUAAAACUAAGGUUGGGUUGAGGAACAUUAUAUGCUCAAUCCAGAAAGAAGAGAAAGUCUGGUGGAAAAGGCUGUUAAAAUCUGAUGGGAAGCCUGCUCCUUACAUUAAGGUGGAUUGGAACAAGUGGUUUGAUGAGGAUGAUGAAAAGUCAGCUUCUGAUGCCUCUGAUGACAAUAAUGCUGGGUAUGAAAAAGAUGAUGGGAGCAGUGAGGAUGAAGGAAUGCUUUAUCUUCCUGAUCUUGAGAAGGCAAGGGGAAAUUGAUGACAAUCAAGGAUCAGUGUUGUUAAUGACAUGGAAUUGGAGUUCCAGGGAUCACAGAACUGCAUCAAUUAUAGGUGCCAAACUGCAAAUUUUCUUUCAAUUAAAAGGGACUUGAAGCUUAGAAGUGGGCACAACCAUUCAGUGUUCCGCUGAGAUCAAAUUGAAUUGAUGAUUUACUAGCAAUGUAGAUUUAUUUAUUUAAGUGUCUCAGUAACAAGCUCACAUGGCUGGAAAGAAAAUUAGGCAAUCGGAAUAAACAAUGCAUGUAGUUUUUCCAGGAACUUCAAUUCUUGUAUAGCAGAUGCCCUUUUUGGGUAAAAAUUAAGUAGAAUUCAGCCAAAAAGAUUUAUAAAAUCCCUCAAAUUGUAUUCCAAAAUUAACCAUUCGGUUACCUAAUUACAAUUAAAUUCAAAUUUGCUUA